ensembl:lncRNA
GUGCUGCUUAGUGGGGAAGGCUGUUGAGUAGAGCUCUCCAUCAUUAUGCCCUAUGCUCAAGCAUCUGAAGAAAUCUUUAUGUGCUUCUGUGCCCAACAUGAGAACUUUGAUCCUCAAGUGGCCCAAUUAACUGUGCAUUGCUCCAUUGCUGCUGGUGACUAAAAGAAGAAUGAAAGAGACCAAUUGCUUAUGUCUGCACAGUUAGUAAGCUUUCAAAGAAAGGACUAUCAUAUAUUAGGAAUCAUUAUUCAAGAUCAAUUUUGAUUGUAACUUAAAAGACCACAAGGUAUGCCUAAUAGUUUCGCUACUGUAUUUUUAACAAGCAGAUCAACACUUGAAACAUGAAAGGGGUUAUUUCAGUCAAUAAAUAAGACAUGAUACCCAUUUUUCUAUAUGGGGUGGGAGUGAGGUAGGAAAUAAAAAUAAAACAAUACUUGAAAGUUGAG